UUAUAGGUAGGGGAGCGUUCCGUUCUCGGGUGAAGUUUUCACGUAAGUGGGGAUGGACGGUACGGAAGUGAGAAUGUUGGCUUGAGUAACGAAAACAUUGGUGAGAAUCCAAUGCCCCGAAAACCUAAGGGUUCCUCCACUAGGUUCGUCCAUGGGGGGUUAGUCAGGACCUAAGGCUAGGCAAGUACAUAAUUUGCGUCGUCGAUGGCAAACAGGUUAAUAUUCCUGUACUAAUUAAAUUAGGAUCUGAGGGACGAAGGAGGCUAAGCUGGAACUGUUUUUGGAUUGCAGUGGAAGCGUUUAGACGUUGAGAGAUCGAACAAAAACGAUCUUGAGUGGAGACGUAAUCCCUACUUAUUGGUUCGCCAAAAAGUAGCUAGUGAUGUCAUACUUCCAAGAAAAGCUCAUACAUCUUUAUAAUUUAAUUACCUGUACCUGAAACCGACACAGGUAGGUUGGUAGAGAAUACCAAGGGGCGCGAGAGAACUCUCUCUAAGGAACUCGGCAAACUGGCCCCGUAACUUCGGAAGAAGGGGCGCCCAGGAUUUACUUCUUGGGUCGCAGUGACCAGGCUCAGGCGACUGUUUACCAAAAACACAGGUCUCCGCAAAGUCGUAAGACAAUAUAUGGGGGCUGACGCCUGCCCAGUGCCGGAAGGUUAAGGAAGUUGGUUACCGUUGAGGGAAGCUGACGACCGAAGCCCCGGUGAACGGCGGUCGUAACUAUAACGAUCCUAAGGUAGCGAAAUUCAUUGUCGAGUAAGUUUCGACCUGCACGAAAGGCGUAACGAUCUGAGCGCUGUCUCAGAGAGAGGCUCGGUGAAAUAGACUUGUCCCGUGAAGAUGCGGACUACCUACACCUGGACAGAAAGACCCUAUGAAGCUUGACUGUAUCUUGGAAUUGGGUUCGGGCUUUUCUUGCGCAGCCUAGGUGGGAGGCGUUGAAGAUUACCUUCCGGGGUAGUUGGAGCCAUCAGUGAGAGACCACUCUGGAAGAGCUAGAAUCCUAAUGGGGAUCCUUGAAUCAGGACCCUUGACAGUUUCAGGUGGGCAGUUUAUUUGGGGCGAAUACCUCCUAAAAGGUAACGGAGGUGUGCAAAGGUUCCCUCAGUCUGGACGGAAAUCAGACAUUGAGUGUAAAGGCAAAAGGGAGCUUGACUGCAAGACCUACAAGUCGAGCAGGGGCGAAAGCCGGCCUUAGUGAUCCGACGGUGCCGAGUGGAAGGGCCGUCGCUCAACGGAUAAAAGUUACUCUAGGGAUAACAGGCUGAUCUUCCCCAAGAGUUCACAUCGACGGGAAGGUUUGGCACCUCGAUGUCGGCUCAUCACAUCCUCGGUCUGUAGUAGGUCCGAAGGGUUGGGCUGUUCGCCCAUUAAAGUGGUACGUGAGCUGGGUUCAAAACGU
rnacentral:rRNA from 1 species